GUGUCAGCCGCCGCGGUAAUACGGAGGGGGCUAGCGUUGUUCGGAAUUACUGGGCGUAAAGGGCGCGCAGGCGGCUGCUCAAGUCAGGCGUGAAAGGCCUGGGCUCAACCCGGGAAUUGCGCUUGAGACUGGGCUGGCUUGAGUGCGGGAGAGGAUGGUGGAAUUCCCAGUGUAGAGGUGAAAUUCGUAGAUAUUGGGAAGAACACCGGUGGCGAAGGCGGCCAUCUGGACCGCAACUGACGCUGAGGCGCGAAAGCGUGGGGAGCAAACAGGAUUAGAAACCCCCGUAGUCC
rnacentral:rRNA from 1 species